CUUCCCUCUGUUGGAAUUAGGUUUGGAACGAGAAUGAAUAUGAAAGAGCCGACGGGAACGAAAAGUUUAUUUUUCAACAGGUUGAACAAACUUGAAAUUUUCAUAUGGACUCAGAUUGAUGCUUUUGUGUACUAAAUGAUUAUUUGGAUGGAAGAGAACUAAGCACUUGAAACUUGGCUACUAUCAAAUUGUUGAAAUCAAAUGCAGCUCAAGGAAGGAAAAAAUUUAAUCAUGAAGUUGAAGUUUUGAGUUAUAUAAGACAUCCUAUAUAACGAUGGUCAGAACCUUUUUGACAGUUGUUAUUAUGGUAAGAGCUGAAGCGAUUCCGUGUUCGACAGCGAGACGGUAAUAAUUCUUAUUGGUUUUACAAUUCAAG